UACGGGGGGGGCAAGCGUUGUUCGGAAUUACUGGGCGUAAAGGGCUCGUAGGUGGCCAACUAAGUCAGAGGUGAAAUCCCUCAGCUUAACUGGGGAACUGCGUCUGAUACUGGAUGGCUUGAGUUUGGGAGAGGGAUGCGGAAUUCCAGGUGUAGCGGUGAAAUGCGUAGAUAUCUGGAGGAACACCGGUGGCGAAGGCGGCAUCCUGGACCAACACUGACACUGAUGAGCGAAAGCCAGGGGAGCAAACGGG
rnacentral:rRNA from 1 species